GACGAACGCUGGCGGCGUGGAUUAGGCAUGCAAGUCGAGCGACGGCCCUUCGGGGUACGGAGCGGCGAACGGGUGAGUAACACGUGAACAACCUGUCCCUACAUUCCGGAUAAUUGGCCGAAAGGCCUUGUAAUACGGGCGAGGAUCUCUGGAAGGCAUCUUCUGGAGAGGGAACACGCAAGUGGUGCGGGGAGGGUUCGCGUCCUAUCAGGUAGUUGGUGAGGUAAUGGCCACCAAGCCACGACGGGUAGCUGGUCUGAGAGGACGGCCAGCCACACGGGGAC
rnacentral:rRNA from 1 species